ACCUGAGACGGUGGAACUGAUGUUUCUUUCUCUCAGGAAGAGAGCAACUACUCCGAGUACGGAAGCAGCCUGUGAAGCAGAGGCUGAAGAAAAAAGCUUCAGCAGUUGGAAGCAGGAGGAAUGGGUGGUCGGUUGAAAGAAGAGCCACAACAAUGCAUCCAAAGAUGAAGCAGUUGUUAUAGUUAAGAAACUCCUCGCCGUUGAGUACUAGCCUGUUCUGCUUCUCAGCAAGGAGACUAAGAACAAAGAACACAAAUGUGAAAUAUUGACCCCUCGGUGCACACUUUCCACUUAUGCCCAAGACUACCUUCAGAAGAUUGGCUCAUUUUCUCAACACUUUUGUGAAGGAGCAGGUGGAGGAGGCGACUAUGAUGGAGAGCCAAGUGCAGCAGGUGACCAUUUGAGGAGCAGGUGGAGGAGGUGACCUUGGGCACGACCAUUUCUCCUAUGACCAAACGUCUUGUGCAGAGCUGCAGU